rnacentral:SRP_RNA from 1 species
CGUCGGUUCCCCGCGACGAUAGGUGGCAAACCCCGCCAGGCCCGGAAGGGAGCAACGGUAGUCACUGAUUCGGGUGCCGGGGGCAGGCCGGCGGAG